rnacentral:rRNA from 1 species
CCUACGGGAGGCAGCAGUGGGGAAUUUUCCGCAAUGGGCGAAAGCCUGACGGAGCAAUACCGCGUGAGGGAAGACGGCCUAUGGGUUGUAAACCUCUUUUUUCAGGGAGGAAUAACUGACGUGUACCUGAAGAAUAAGCAUCGGCUAACUCCGUGCCAGCAGCCGCGGUAAGACGGAGGAUGCAAGUGUUAUCCGGAAUCACUGGGCGUAAAGCGUCUGUAGGUUGUUGAACAAGUCAACUGUUAAAUCUUGAGGCUCAACUUCAAAAUCGCAGUCGAAACUGUUUGACUAGAGUAUAGUAGGGGUAAAGGGAAUUUCCAGUGGAGCGGUGAAAUGCGUAGAUAUUGGAAAGAACACCGAUGGCGAAGGCACUUUACUGGGCUAUUACUGACACUCAGAGACGAAAGCUAGGGUAGCAAAUGGGAUUAGAUACCCCAGUAGUCCUAGCCGUAAACAAUGGAUACUAGAUGUUGAACAGAUCGACCUGUGCAGUAUCAAAGCUAACGCGUUAAGUAUCCCGCCUGGGAAGUAUGCUCGCAAGAGUGAAACUCAAAUGAAUUGACGG